rnacentral:lncRNA from 1 species
AGCGCUAAAAGCUUUUUCUUCCCCUUCUAAAUGACAAAUCAAACUAUAGUUACGGUAAGAAAUUUUUAUUUUGCAUUGCAUAUAUAUAUUAUUAUUUCUGCUCGUAUCUAUUUUUGUUAUCAAGCUUCCUUUUACCCAACCAGGUAUCUGGAAAAUUUCAGCUACCAUUUGAUUAGGAGUGAGUUCCAAAAACUCAAUAAGAAAGACAAUAUUAAAGUCAUACAAACAUGUUUAAAAACAAUUAAUUAAAUGCAAUUUAUAAGAAAAUAAUAUUAUCUAUUUGUGUUCACCAUAGCAAUUUAUUCAUGAUGCCAAUUUUUAAUUCAAUAAUUCUAAAGACGUUCAAUGCCAUAUUCAAUCACCUAACACACACACACAACUACUGAAUCCUCGCACAUUGGGCUGGACUCUUAUUUUGAGUUUUAUUAUAAUUUAUUAAUAUUUAAUUUAAUUAUAUUGUUUAUAAUCCGACGCAUGUGGAGUUUACACAUAUUUUCCCAAUGAGGCAAUACGGCAUCGACCAAGGUCACGAAUAGGGAUCUCAAUCAUUCAAUAAAUACAUCAAUAGUCGUCAAAUAAAUACAAUCACUCAACCACUCCAAUCGCCAUCACAUUGUUUCACUCAAUCGCUAUAACAUGAAUCUAAUGGUUCAAUUUUCAUCCUAGAAAUACUGAACACCAGUCCCAAACUUGGAACCCAAUGACCACCACCCGGACUGUGAUUGAGUCCAAAACAAUACAAUCAAGCCUUCCAAGAAAAAUUAGAUGAAUCAGAUUUAUUAGACUCUAUGUAAAUUAAGUCUUGGACUCUUAGUUUUAUUUUUCUUUUGAUUCUUAAUUUUAAUCCUAAUUUCUACCUUUUAAAUUUUAAACCCCCUUUUUCUUUCCUAAGUUUAAUUUAAAGUGUUAAUUUUAAUAAUUUUAAUUACUUAGUUAAAUUUUUGGGAAUUUAUUUAUUUAUUUAUUUUUAAUUUAAUUUUUAAUUAUAUUUUAAUAAUUCCCCAAUUUCUCCGUUUUAUCCAAAAUUCCAUUUUUCAUUCCAAUUUUACCCAAUUUCUCAUUUUCCCCAACUUUACCAUUUUCUUAUGUCCAAAACACUGUUAGCAAUUUUUCUUACAUUUGUACCUUUAUGUUGCAUUUAAAUUCAAAUAAGCAUGUUAAUGAAUACUGUAAUUCGUUCAUUAAACAUAAAAACACAAAUUUAAACAUUGAAGACAUGCAUGAACACAUCCACUCUUCUACUUUAAUUAAAACAUCAAGCAUAGCCUCUUUUCAUGCACUUUUUACCCUCUACAUGCAUCUAUAAAACUCCAAAUACGUAUAAACCGUAUUAUCAUCUUUCUUACCUCACUGAAGUAUGAAGAAAAAUUUAAAACGCAUGAAUGGAAGACGUCUACAACAAGAAAAAUAGUCUGUGACGAAUUUGGGUCAAAUUCGCGAGUUCUCGGGUGUUUCUAUCAUGAAAAAUUAAUCUAGAACUUGAAAAUGGCUAGGAAUCGAAGCGAGAAGUUGAAAUUAAGGAGAGCCAGACACUCACCCAAACUGCAACGUGUGCAGCAACAGCAUAGGAAGAAUGCUUCUAUAUUAGAGUUGCUGCGCUAUUCUGGGCAUCCAAAAUGGUUACAGAAGAUGAUAAGAAUCUGGGGAAGAUAUAUUCGAAUCAUUAGAAGGGAAAGCAACUCAACUAGAUGUAUAAAGAAGCUAGAUUCUCUCGGUAGAGGCAUACGACACACCCUAUGUUUUUUUUUAAAAAAAUUUUUCCAGUUCUCUCUCUCUCUUCUAUUUCUCUCUCUAAGUUCGACUCUCUCUCUCUCAAACGAAGUAGGGAAGAGGAAGAACAAAUGGGGAAGCCUUUUAAAUGGCAGUCCCCAUCCAUUUUCUUAUUUCAGCUCACACGCACAUAGUGCGUGUCUUUGCUACCAUGUGAGCAGCUAGCUGGAGGACGAAGACUGGUUGACUUUACAGCUGGUUGGCAAGCUAGCUGCAGCAACCCUCAUUGCCUGGGUUUCCCCCAAGCGAUGGGAUCAACUUUCACCUCUUCACUCUUAAGAAUUUUUUAAAAUUCGUUUUAAUUGCUUUCCUUUCUUUUAAUUAAUUUACACAUUAUUAGUUAAAUUAAAAUACAAUUUAAAUUGGAAUAAAAUAAAAUAUAAAAAAUAUCUCAUUUUAUUAAUUUAUACAAAAUUAAUUUACAUAAGUAGAUAUUACAUAAAACUAUUAAUUAAAUAAUUAGCGUAAUUUUUAAUUUUAAAAAAACUCAAUUGCACAAUUAACACAAAUACAACUUAUUAAUAAAGUGUCAUCAUUACAAAAUAAAGAAAAAUAAAUAUGAUUAGUGGUAUUCGGUGAAGUACUCAUUCAUCAUUGUAAAUAUAUAAAAAAAAAAAUUUCUUUAAAUAGGCACGAAUAAUCAAGUUGUAAUAUUUAAGGAUUUAAAAAGAAAUAAAGAUUAAGGAAAAAAAUUAUAACACCUUACAUUUUUUAUAAAUAACCCAAAUUCAUAGUUGGUAAGUGAGAUAAAAAAUAAAUUUUUAUGAAACAUUUGAGAGAUCCAUUAUAUUAGUAUGCUUUAAAAACUCAUACCUGAUGCCACUUAUAUAUUUUUGCUUGAACUUUUACAAAUUUAAUAGAAGAUUAAAAAUAUAUGAGUUUUUAUAUGAUUUAUUAAUUUUUUAUAAAAAAAGAUUAAUUUAAUGAGGAACAUGUCUACUUAAUAAAUCAUUAAGUGAUAAUUUGAGUAUUCUAUGUGACAUCCUAAGUACUAAUUAAAGCAAAUGGGUGUUAGAUACAGGACCUAUCCGCGUAGGCCUACUGCAUGACGGUGCGCGCACAGUGUGCAACGCCUGUCUGUGCGUGAGGUGACACGCUGAUGGCCUGCCUGUGCGCGACAAUACGUGCGCGUAAGUCCUGACCCCACACCAUGCGCGCGGACGGGACGAGCGUGCUGUGCACAUGUCACAUGCGUGCGUGCGUGCGGAUGAGACGUGCGUGCUGUGCGGAUGUCCUGUGACCACUGUGUGUGCAUGCGCGCGGGCACAGUGCCCAACACCUGCGUGAGCAACCAGCCUUCUUGCGAGAUUUUUUCCAUUUUGCUGUUUUUCGAUUUUGUUUUUUAAAUUUUCAUUUUCAAUUUAAUUUAGUUAAAUUAAAAUCAUUUAAAAUAAAAUAAAAUAAAAUUUAACUAAAAAUUAAAUAAAUAAAAAUAAACCAAAAUUAAAAAUCACGAUAAAUAUUAAACAACGUAAAUUAAUUAAGUGCAAAGCGGCCAAAGGUCCGAAUAAAUAGAGUUUUCAAAUUAUUUUAGCACAAUGAUGAGUAGGGUGUUACAUUUUACUUAUUAUUUUAUAAUGCACUACAUCUUACAUUAUAUGAUAUAUUCCAUUAUAGUACAAUACACAAUUCCCCAUUUUUUACUAAUAACUCUUUAACUCUUAUCUCAUUCUAUGUAUACCAACUUCCACUCUUUUGCCAAACACGAUAAAACACCAUGACUAGAAAUAAGGUUAAGCUUGUCAAUAUCACAAAUGACUCUGUAAGAAAAGCCAUGUUCAAGAAAAGGAAGAAGGGAGUAAUGAAGAACGUGAGUGAACUUAGCGCUCUCUACAAUGUCAAAGCUUCUGCAAUCAUUUAUAGUCUCUAUCACCCGCAACUAGAGGUUUUGGCCUUCCCCACUCAUAGCCCAACGCAUGUUGGCUGACUUUAAGAGGAUGCCCCAUAUAGAGUAAAACAAGAAAAUGGUGAAUUAAGAGAGCUUCUUGCAACACAGGAUCACCAAAACAACCGACCAACUAAAGAAGCAGUGCAAGGACAAUUGAGAGAAGGAGAUCAUACAGAUCUUGUUCCAAAGCCUUAUAGGGAAACUCCUCCACCAACUCAAUCUCAUUGGUCUUUACGAUCUUGGUUGGCUCAUCAAAUAACACCUCAAGAAAAUCCAAAAAAAAAGGAUUGAAACACUCAGCAAAUUACCUCAUCACUCCUUCAGCUAUAACCCCUUGAGCUAGGGUAACUUGCUGAGUGUUUCCAUCCUUAUUUGUAUUUCUUUGAGUUUUUGUUCGAUGAGCCAACCCAAAUUAUUGAGAUCAAUGAGGUUAAGUUGGUGGAGGGGCUUCCCAAUAAGGCUUUAGAACAUGACUUGUGUGAUCUCCUUCUCCCUGUUGUCCUCGCACUGCUUCUUUAGUUGGUCAAUUCCCUUGGUGAUCAUCUGGUGCAGAAAGCUCUCCUGAUUCACCAUCUUCUUGCUAUGUUCCAUCUCAGGUAUCUUUUUGAAGUCAGUUAGCACAUGUUGGGCUCUAAGAGGAGAAGGCCAAACCUCUGGUUACUAGUCGUAGGGACUGUAAAUGAUUGCAAAGGAUUUGACUUUGUAAAGAGUGUUCAAUUCACUCACUUUCUUGAAAGUGACUUUUUGGGCAUAGUCAUUAGUGAUAUAUGCAAGCUUAACCUUUUUUGCAGUCAUGGCAUUUGGUUGUGUUUGACAAAGGAGUAAAAAGGUGUACGUAUAGAAUGGGACAAGGGUUGAAGUCUUAUUAGUAAGGGAUGCUUAUUAGUAAAGGAUGGGGACUGGAACAUUGAAUAUACCAUGUGAGGUUAUAUUAAAACUACAAGUGGAAUGCCCAAAUAAUCUCCAAAAAUGUUGUGUUUUUAAUAGAAGAUAUGGAAAAAUCUUGUAAUUAAAGAUAAUAUAGCUCGUAAAAUUUAAUUAGUGAGUUGUUGCAAAGUUGUACUUAUAUAAAAUCAUUGAAUCCUAACCGUCCGUUUUAAUUAAAAGCUAAUACUUUAAUAUAAUGCAUGUAUAUAUCUAUUCUCUCUUAUAUGUGUAGGUGUGUAAAAAAAAUGAAUUGAAUGGGAUAGAAUAUUUAAUUACUUUUCAUUGUAUGUGGAGGGUUAGUUAAAAAAAAAAAAAAAAGAGAGAAAAAAAAGCUUGAAAAAUUAUUGGUUUGGAAAAUCUACUUGUUAUCGAUAAAAACUAUCUUACUUUUCAAAAAAAAUAUUAAUUCUGAAAAAUGAAAAUAAAAUUUAGGAUUUAAAUUUUUUAAUAACAAUUCAUACAUUUAAUUAAUUAAAUACGAUCUCCUAAAGAUAAUCUAUGAGAAUACACAAUUCGAUCUAAAAUCUCUUAUAAAGAGAGAAAAUACUAAUCAUAUUGUUAGGGAACGAUUAGUAUGUUUAAUUUUAAAAUGUAAUAAUAAAAGUAAACUAUGCAAAUACUUUUGUAUUGACUUAUUUACUAGCUAAACAAUUCUUAAAGAAAUCGAAGAAAUAUUUCCUAUCAAUUUAAUGCAGUAAUAAUAAAAAGGUGUUGUCUCUCUUCUAAUAAAAAAAUGAUACUAAUAUGGUACUAAUAUAUAUGCCUUCUCCUCGACACUCCAUAUUAUCCUUUAAAAUAAUUAUUUUUUUUAAAUGAAAUAAACUUUAUGAAUGACAAUUAACCAUUAUAAACACAAUGAGAAGUACCAUCAAAUGUGACAACCUGCAAUUUUCUAAAUAGAGAAAAACCACUCUGCCAACACAACAUAUCAGAAUUCGCCAAAAACGGCUACAACAUAUAAAUGAACGCCGAAGCACAACCUAAUUAUCCCUUGUACAAUAUUGUAAAAAUAAAUUACAAGCACGAGGUAAUAAAUAUAUAGAGCAAAACUAAAAGCAACGUACCUGAAGUGAAAAAAAUAGUUUUCUAAUUCAAACGCAACUUUCAUUUUAUCAAUCUAAAAAAAUGAGAAUUUGAAUGGGAUGAGCAAAACAACAAGCUCGGUAAAUAUGCUUAAUAGACUACACACUAGGCAUGUGUGUACAACAUACAUUUAAACAUACAUGUGAAAUGUUUCUUAUCUUUUAAGAAAAUAAUGAGUUUCAAACAAGAGAGUUUUAAUACUAAUCUAUAAUCCUAGAGUUUGCAAUUUUUUAUAGUUUUUUAAUGUUUUUAUAGUUUUCUGUUUUUCCUACAGUUACUUUUAAAUUUCAAUUUGACGAUCCUAAUCGCAUGCGCAGUGUCUAGCAGAACAAGUACUAUUUAGGGAUCUCGAUGCCCACUACCACAUGGGCAGAGUAAUACGAUCAUGCACGGACUAGUCACAACAGUACUUUGCCAAGUAACCCAAAUAAAGACAUACAUCCCAACCACAGUUGAAAGGGCUUUCAUUCACACAUUGGCAAGGUUCACCCACCGUUAAAUUUCAAUCAUACUGUUAUGACGGAUAUUUACAGUUUUGCUUUGAGAUAUUCUUUACACUUCUGUUUUAUUUGUAUGAUUGUUUUGUCUUGAGUUUUAUUCGAAGACUUUACAUUUUUCAUUGACUUAACCUUGUUUAGUUUAGUCUUUCCUAUACUUUAAACUCAAUCAUUCCGUUUAUCUUAUCUUCCUCUUAAAUUCAUGCAUUCUAAUUAAUUUAACUCUUAUUUAUUUGGGCAAUUUAAUAUUUGUA